UUGAAUGGUUAUGUCUACCAGGUGAAAGAUCUAGGUGAGAAGAGAGACAUAUUUCAUUUUCAGGUGGUUUGGAGUGGCGGUUUUUUAGGGUGGAAACUAUGGACUUAAAGAUUGGAUCUAUGCUUUUAUGGGAUGUUUUCAAAAAAAAAAAACCAAGUGGAUAUCGAUGAAAAUGAGGUUGAGAUGAGUAUGUGGGUGAAAUAUGGUUAAAAUCAACGUUAGUCAAUGAGGAC
rnacentral:lncRNA from 1 species